GCGGAGGACAAGAAACCAACMGGGAUUGCCCYAGUAACGGCGAGUGAAGCGGCAACAGCUCAAAUUUGAAAUCUGGCUCUUUUAGAGUCCGAGUUGUAAUUUGCAGAGGGCGCUUUGGCUUUGGCAGCGGUCCAAGUUCCUUGGAACAGGACGUCACAGAGGGUGAGAAUCCCGUACGUGGUCGCUGGCUAUUGCCGUGUAAAGCCCCUUCGACGAGUCGAGUUGUUUGGGAAUGCAGCUCUAAAUGGGAGGUACAUUUCUUCUAAAGCUAAAUAUUGGCCAGAGACCGAUAGCGCACAAGUAGAGUGAUCGAAAGAUGAAAAGCACUUUGGAAAGAGAGUCAAACAGCACGUGAAAUUGUUGAAAGGGAAGCGCUUGCAGCCAGACUUGCUUGCAGUUGCUCAUCCGGGCUUUUGCCCGGUGCACUCUUCUGCAGGCAGGCCAGCAUCAGUUUGGGCGGUARGAUAAAGGUCUCUGUCACGUACCUCUCUUCGGGGAGGCCUUAUAGGGGAGRCGACAUAYUACCAGCCUGGACUGAGGUC
rnacentral:rRNA from 1 species